CACCCCUCAAGCGUAGCUUGGUACUGGGUCCUCGUCCCCGCGACGUGCCCGAAAAGCAGUGGCGGUCCGGUGGGACUUUAAGCGUAGUAAAUCUUAUCCCGCUUUGAAAGUUCGCCCGGCGACCGGCCAGAUAACCCCAUUUAUUCAAU
rnacentral:misc_RNA from 1 species